AGAGUUUGAUCAUGGCUCAGGACGAACGCUGGCGGCGUGCCUAACACAUGCAAGUCGAACGGAGAUUUCAGCAAUGGAAUCUUAGUGGCGAACGGGUGAGUAACGCGUAGACAACCUGCCUUCUAGAUGGGGACAACACUGCGAAAGUGGUGCUAAUACCGAAUGUUGUAUUGAGAAUGCAUAUUUUUGAUACUAAAGAUGGCCUCUAUAUAUAAGCUAUCGCUAGAAGAUGGGUCUGCGUCUGAUUAGCUAGUUGGUGAGGUAAUGGCUCACCAAGGCGACGAUCAGUAGCCGGUCUGAGAGGAUGAACGGCCACACUGGGACUGAGACACGGCCCAGACUCCUACGGGAGGCAGCAGUGGGGAAUCUUCCGCAAUGGACGAAAGUCUGACGGAGCAACGCCGCGUGAGUGAAGAAGGUUUUCGGAUCGUAAAACUCUGUUUUCAGGGACGAAUGUGCGAUGUGUAAAUAAUGCAUUGUAAUGACGGUACCUGAGUAGAAAGCCACGGCUAACUACGUGCCAGCCGCCGCGGUAAUAC
rnacentral:rRNA from 1 species